rnacentral:rRNA from 1 species
UACAGGGGGGGCAAGCGUUGUUCGGAAUUACUGGGUGUAAAGGGCUCGUAGGCGGUCUGUCGCGUCUGCUGUGAAAACUCGGGGCUUAACCCCGGGCCUGCAGUGGGUACGGGCAGACUAGAGUGCGGUAGGGGAGACUGGAAUUCCUGGUGUAGCGGUGAAAUGCGCAGAUAUCAGGAGGAACACCGGUGGCGAAGGCGGGUCUCUGGGCCGAUACUGACGCUGAGGUGCGAAAGCGUGGGGAGCAAACAGG